CCCUUAGAUGUUCUGGGCCGCACGCGCGCUACACUGAUGCAUUCAACGAGUCUAAAACCUGCUCUGAUAGGGGUGGGUAAUCUUUUGAAUGUGCAUCGUGAUUGGGAUAGAUGAUUGCAAUUUUUCAUCUUCAACGAGGAAUGCCUAGUAAACGCAAGUCAUCAGCUUGCAUUGAUUACGUCCCUGCCCUUUGUACACACCGCCCGUCGCUCCUACCGAUUGAAUGAUCCGAUGAAUAUCAUGGAUUGAGGAUGCAAGUAGGUUAGCCUAUCUUCAUCUUCGAGAAGUGAAGUAAAUCUUAUCAUUCAGAGGAAGGAGAAGUCGUAACA
rnacentral:rRNA from 1 species